rnacentral:rRNA from 1 species
UACGAAGGGGGCUAGCGUUGUUCGGAAUUACUGGGCGUAAAGCGCACGUAGGCGGCUCGAUCAGUCAGGGGUGAAAUCCCAGAGCUCAACUCUGGAACUGCCUUUGAUACUGUCGAUCUAGAGUAUGGAAGAGGUGAGUGGAAUUCCGAGUGUAGAGGUGAAAUUCGUAGAUAUUCGGAGGAACACCAGUGGCGAAGGCGGCUCACUGGCCCGGUACUGACGCUGAGGUGCGAAAGCGUGGGGAGCAAACAGG